GGUCCUGUAGUCUAAUGGUAGAACACCUCGUUUACACCGAGGAAGCCCAAGUCCGAUUCUUGGCAGGACCA
rnacentral:tRNA from 1 species